UAUGGAUGCUUCUCAACAUUACAGGAA
rnacentral:piRNA from 1 species